CGGUUACCCGAAGACUUAAUUGGGAUUUAUGCGGCGACCGGAAGCGCAGAGAUCCUGCGCCAGGAUGUGAAUUUCUUCAAGGGUUUCGACCCAAAUGCACGGAAAAGCUGCGAUCCAAGGUUUCGGGCUUCGAUAUCGAGGGCGAUUUUCGUCGGAUUUGGCGAUUUUUGGCUGCUUACUGCUGUCGAGUAGGGAAAUAUUGCGGCUUGAGCUCUGAUUCUUGGUGGGUUUCUUCCAUCUCCGCUGGUUCCCAAAUGCUCUGAGAAAUACCUGGAAUCUCGGGCUCUUUUUUGGUAUCGAUCUUGUUAGGGUUCUGCCUUCGUUUAAAGUGGAGGCAAUUAGCCUUUUCGCCUUUACUUUUUGAUUCUCUUAGGGGUUCCAUCGCUUUAUCUGCUUCUGGGAUCUUGGCAUUCUCAGGGUUUUGCGGCUUCUUGUUAAGAUGAACACGGAAAAUGGCAGCUUUGCUAGGUGUGUGAAGCACCCGUCUCAGUUCUUCACUGGUUUCUGUUCUUUUUGCUUGGUUGAGAGGUUAUCGAAUGUUGGUUCUGCAGAACAAAGCUUGAAAGCUUCAGAUGGUUCACAGUGUGAAAUUGUUCAGGUCUCUGCUGCCAUUCCUGAUGCUGGUAAUAAGCCUAAUGAGGUCAGAGUAAGGAGGACUCUCCUAUCUUUGUUUCAAUUGGAUGAUAUUGACAGCUUUGAGAGCAAGGAAAAUCCAUCGAAAGACCAUCUUGUGACAGAGAAUUUGACCGCUGGAAAUACCAUGUCUCUAGAAGAUGGGUCUGAAUGCAAAACUGGUGUCUCCCAUGAUGUGGAUAGUUCUAAGGAUGUUCAGGUUGAGGCGAUCUCUAAGCUUGGAGAUAGGGUUUCAGAAAACAAUUCUGAUGCUGCUGGUAAUCUUACUGAUGCUGCCCAAUCUGGCAAGAAGGCUGAGCUCGUAGAAGAUGAGAUGUUGAAAGACAAAAGUGUGCCAUUUUGGUUGAGUUCGGUUCUGUCAAAAAAGGGACUAAAAUGGAGGAUUAGUAGCACAUUCAAGAAGAACCAGGUGAAAGAGAAGAGCUCGAGUAAUGGAGUGGAGGAUAAACAGCUGGAUAGCAAGACUAACUUCCGGCAUUCUUGUGACUGGAGGCUGUCACAUGAUUCGAGCAAGACCUCAUCUUGGGAAUUACCCAGACAUUCAUGGGAUGGUUCAAUGGUGAGCAAGGCACUAGCAUGUUCAUUCGCCUGCCUUGAAGAACGUGGAGGUGGUUGUAGUAGGAUAAAAAAAAGUUUACCUGAAGUUUUAAGUUCAGAGCCUAAGCCAACUACUGAUAAUUGUGAUGUUGACAAAACCGAUAAUAUGGCUUCAGCCAGAGAUAAAUCUUUAUCAUCAGAAAGCAGUUUGGGAAGCCUUUUCAAAGAGUGGAGUUACAAAGAAUCUCACCCUGAAAUUGCAUUUUCAGGUAUCAGUAGAAAAAAAUCACACAGAUGGAGUAGAGUGUGGGAUCGCAGUAUAACUAGCCCUUUCAGGGGUUUUGUAAAGAAACGUGAGCAUGUGUUGGAGAGGUCUCUGUCUGAAUCUUGGCAAGACAGGAAGGAAAAGAGUUUGGAAAUUUUGGAAUCUGGUGGUGGAGUACGAUAUAAUGGGAAUGACCUCAUUUCGGUUAGAGCUAGCCAGAGCAUAAACCGAAUCAUAAAUUCUGCUAAUGGUGAUCUUCAUAACCCUAGACCUGAUUGGCAAAAGAAGAGGGCAUACAAGCUUGGUCGAAGCCAGAGUGUACGUUACUCUUCCCCUGGAAACUUAUAUAAUGGACUUCUUCGCUUUUAUUUGACUCCUUUGAGAAGCAGCAGAAGAAAUGCAAGCAAAAGUAGGACAAAAAAUUCAAAUUCAUUUGCCAGAGGCAUCUUUGGGUUUUAUUGAAAAGAACAGCAUUGUACUCAAAAGGAUCCUAAGUUUAAUGGUGGUUGUGCACUUUUUCUGAUGUCAAAGCAGAGGGCCCCUUAUGGCCUUACAGUCCUGCUUCUCUCUCUGCCUCUGUGUUUCUUGAGGAAAGGUCCUACCAUAUGAUGCAGUCCAAAUCCAUUGCUGACUGUGGAAAAGCAUUUUGUGAUUCUGAAUGCUCUUUAUGACUUUGAAGAUAGAAAAAAGGCGUGCCAGGAUCUGCCUAGCUUGGUUGCAGCAUUUUGUGUAAGUGCAACUAUGCUGUCCAAGAUCCACCAAACUGGUACCGGGGUGGAUAGGAGGGCCAUGCAUGUAGGGUGAGCCCAUAACAAAAGGGCCACACAAUUUCGGCCCAAUAAGCGCUGACGCCAACCAGACAUGUCCUCGGUCCGGCCCAGAAUCAGCCCGACCUCGGACUCCGCCGAAAGCUCCCCCGACCUCCUAUAUUCACCGACUCGCCCAACCAAAUUCGGGGCGCCUUCUUCAGCAAUAUGCCUCGACCCUGGAGCUCCCGGCACUCCGCCUAGCACACCUCGGAAUUCGGGGUGCUGGGCUAACUACAGCACCCGUCAAGCCGACCCCUAUCGAAUGUAUGAUGCGACCUCUUGACGUACUCGGCCUCGCCAAUGGCUGCACCUAUGCACGCGCCCACGCCCUCCUACGUGGCCGUACAUUGCUAUGCCACUAUACUACGCUUCACUAGCUAGCCCACGAUAGUCGAAGGACGGCUCCGUGACUACUUCGGCAAUACCCUGCUAUGAUUGUCGACACCUUACCGUUCUCAGAAACGGGGGACACCGCACGCCACCGGCCAGCUCUAGCUGCGUGCCAUUCGGCUCAGAGCCGUCCCCCCUCAUGAUAAAAGCGGGCAAUGCCUCCGCCACCUGGGCCUCUCCACCAGAACUAUACAUAGCUCUGUCAGGUAACACCAUGAGGACCCCUUUUUUAGAAAAACCAAAUGUACACCUUCCUAACUUGAUCGUUAGAGGGCCCUCACCGGAAACACCGGUGAGGCUUUGUGCAGGUACUCCGACGCGCGGGUGGCAGAUCUUGCCCUCUUCCCUGACGCCUCGGUGGCUCUCUCGACUCCUCCGGCGUGGUCACUCUCGGGCCAGAUUUGAACCACAACACAAACCUCAAUAAAUAUUUCAUAUAUAGUCAUAAUGCCAGGUUUAAAUGGCUAUGUGGUGCCUAGCUACUAUAGUUGUACCUAUACAUUUUAUGGGCAUUUGUUCACAAGCUAUUCAAAUAUCUACUUCAUUGUUCAAGUGAUUGUUUAACGUGCUCAAUCACUUGUAAUUCAUUAAACAAUUGAUCUAAAAGGGUGUCCCAUUCGUACAAAGUGGCGUGGGGGGCGGGGGGUGCAACAGUAAUCUCAAAGCUCAAGAAUGAUGGUCGGUGACAUAUAGUGGUCACUGAUGUUAUAAUGAAGUGUGGUACCUCUAAAGUCGUGCCUCAUCCUGUUUUGUCAACCAUGACUAUUUGAUAAUAAGGUGCAACAAUUUGCCUAAAGUAGCAUGUAUUCUUACAAGCUUGUUGGAUGCCAGUUGAAGGAUGUAUAAGUUACACGCUUGCCUCUUUGAAACUCUAGCAUUUUUUAUUUUUUUCUUUCCCUCAAAUGUGAAGUCUUUGGAGAUGGCAUAUUACUUGACAAAUUUGAAAUGGGUGCAAGGGGGUAGGGUGGCAUCUAGUUGAGUCAGUGUCAGAUAUGAGUCGGGUUUAGAUACGGGUCGGAUUGGAUGUUGGUCUAGUCAAAAAUUUGUCGACUCGAAUCCUAUCUAACCUACAUAGGUAACCCAACUCAACCUACAUAACUCAUUUACGAAACAGGUUGAAUCAGGUUAAACAAGUUAAAUAGGUUAAGUGGGGUUUUAGUGGAUUAAAUGGAUUUAAAUGGUUUAAAUAGGUUAAGCGGGUUGGUUUAAAUGGGAUAGAAACAGGUUAAAUAGAUUUUAAAUAGGUUAAACAGGUCUUAAGCGAAUUAAAUCAAUUAGAUCAUGACCCAACAAUUAUUAAAUGGUUUAAAAUAGGUUAAAUGGGUCAAAUGUCUAAACUUGAAUCCAACAAAUUUAAUAAAUAGGUGUAGAUGGAUUGACUCGUUUAUGACCCAACCCAUCAAACCUGAACCUGCUUAAAGCAUGUCGUUUGUGGGUCAGGUUGACAUGCUGGAUCAUAAAUUUCACCCCUACAAGAGGGUGCUGCUAGCGGGUUCGAGUUAUUGCAAUAAUGAUUGGAAUUUGGCUUUUUGUGGCAUGAAGGUGCAAUGAAAGAAAGGAGUGGCAUGAGGUCCUCAAGGAUGGUUGAGCUCAUACGGGGAAUACAUGAGCAAGAGGGAAGAAAAGGCUCCUAGUUUCUGUUUUGAGCCAUGGUUGGCUUUGAUUGAUAUUAAUGGUCAACAAGAAACUUUUAGUCCAUGGUUGACUCCAUGGGCAUGUUUGCUGAAGAUUGGGACCUGAGGCAUCAGUCCCUUGCUUAAACGGCCCACUCUUUUGGACUCCACAGAAGUUCUAUUGUCAAAGGGGUUUUUUUAGGAAAGCAAUGGGAGAUGAGUAGGGGUUGUUGAUUUGGUUAUGUUUUAAUUUCCAUUCUUUGUUAAUUCAUUUUUACGAUUCUUUUUGGAACAAAUAAGUGUUUUCUUUCUUUUCUAUUUUAGAGUCCUACUUGGAUUAAAGUUGGAAAUUAUGGGUGCCUCUCAAUUCAUUUGAGGAGGGGGGAUCCUGGUCAGCUGGUUGUUGGUUUUUGGAGUUGAUUUGGACAAAAGAGAUGAAAAGAAGACAUAUUUGGUCAUUUCUUCUCUCUUGAGUUUUUCUUUUCUUGUCAUUUUUUUCUGCUUUUAUGAUUCUAUUAUUUUCUUCAGUAUUCUCUGCUAUUACUUCCUUCGGUAUUGUUAUACAGAUAAAUUCGGAAAGAUCUGAUCAUUUUCUUGGUUAAAACAAGUCAUGCAUCCCUCUUACAUGAGCAAUCAAUGCCCUAGACACUCUAAUAAAGUAGAUGAUAUUGAUGACAUGGUACAAUGUUUUUAUUUGAUUUAUGAUUGACAAGCAUCCAAAUCAGUUGAAUUCUGGUAUCUGUUUUUAGGUGUCUAAAUCAUCAAGAUCAACUAUUUGGUUCUCAUAUUAUAUGCCUUGCUAUGUAUAUUAGCACUUGAAUUUAUGGAUACUGUCAGAUUUGCUUGAUUCAUAGAUAAGAAACCUUUAAAAACUUUUUUUUUGUUUUUUAAGUAUCUUAAAUAUCAUAAACAUGGUCAAUGAUAUGGAUCUUUAAUUAAGAGGCCCAUCAUUGAUUUUACAUCAAUAAGACGAUCUUAACUUCUCCCUUCCCUCAGCAAAAAAAGGGGAGAGAGAGCGUGCGUGGCCUAGUAUUAAAAUCAUUUAUUUUAAUUUUUCAAUCAUUUAAUAGUCUGUUUAAACAAUUAUAAUCAUUUUAACCGUUCCCUAAGCUGCAUUGACAACUAUGAUGGUGCUGUCUCAAUUUAGUGCGAUUAAUGGUUACUUUGCCAACAUAUUAUGUUCUUUUAACCAUAGCCAUGAUAUUCUUUUGGUCAAUCAUCUACUUCAGCAAGUCUCCCUUCAAAAAUUUCUGCAUCAACUACUUAGUCAAGUAGAUCCUUUCCAUUCCUUUCUUUGCUCAUUCAUUUUAGGCUGAGCUAUUUUGAGGUUCUUCCCUCCACCCAAAGAAAUCUAAAUAUCUGCAACUGCUGACUCUUGAGACCUGUUACCAGUUAAGCUUCUAACCCAUUUGUCAUUGUAUCUCAAUAUCUUUACCACCAUAAAGAGCUAUCUUGCAAUUCUCCAUCCCUUUUCUUUAUUUAUAUUUCUUUACUCAUAGCUGUCUUGCAAUUGACACUAAUUCGAAGGCACAAUCUCAUAUCAAAACCUAUGGCUGACUGGUUCAUUUCGCGAAGUAGGGAUUAGAUCUUGCUACAUGUCCCCCUUUUCACAGAAAAUGGAGAGAUGAAUGUAUCGUAUUUGCUCCAUAAACUUGAUUUAUAUCCUUGCCUAUACCACAUACCAUGUAAUCUUGGUACUGUUUUAUUUGUGGAGACAAACUCCAUUCUUCGUUUGUUUAUUCUUUUCUAUAAAAUUGAAACCUUUUGGCUGAAACAAGCAGGACCUUUGCAUGUAAAGCAAUAAUGUCUCCUCCAUUUCCUAACCAUGUUAAUAACUGCGAGUGCUCUUUACUUAUUUUCAGAUUUUGACACCAACCUGUCUUCUUCUUAUAAUAUAAUGGGGCAGGCCUUUGAGCUUGGAGUUUUACUUUUAAGCAAACAUGAACCAAACAAUCACCACAGUUUCUCUAUCCCUCCUCCCACCUUAUCUCUUUUCUGAUUUUACAUUUUCCUGGUAAGUUUCUAAACAUCAGGUGGUCUAAUAAUGGAACCUCUUGCUCUUAGAGCAAUCAUUUAGGAAAGGUUGGUUGAAAAGAGAGGUAUGCUUUCAGGUGUUUAGUGGUGCUGCACAUUUGUAACUAUUUAAUUGCAACUCUGGGUUGUGGUUUAUGGUCGCAACUUUUUGUUUUUCAGUUUUAUGAGAAUUAAUUUGUUUAGCCCUAUUCAACUUCCUAAGCUUAAGCAAUGAGGCAGAUCUUUUCCAUAUUUGAAGAACAUUAAAUGGGUAAAUUAUUAGAAAGAAUCCGGCAAACUAUAAAUUUUAGAUGCACAACCUCUUAAAUGUUCUACAUCAUUUUUUCUGAUUAUGAUCGAGCUCAAUUUAUUAUCAAUUUUCGGGAAUACACUAGGAAUUGUGACUUGUCAAAUUACCUACAACACAUAACUUCAAAUAACAAGAAAAAUGGAUGAUGCAUCAUUUAUUCUUACUUAGAAGUAGAUUUAUGCGCAAUUUGUUAGAAAAGGUGAUCCUGAAGGGCUUUCUUGAGAUGCCUGGUACAUUCGCAGAAUAUCUCAUAUAAAAGUGAGCUAAUUUUCUUUAUACAUUUUGGCCUACCAAGUGUCAUCAAAUGGUUGUAAGUAAAUGAUAUGAAAUCUGCUAUUUGGAUUUGGGAAACGAAUAAAUCAUAAACUAUUGCUGCAAAGGUAUGCUGUCUUGGUACCAAGCUCUGUGCUAGUGCCAUUCUAUUACUGUGUCAGUAUGCCCGGUAAGGGGGCCAGUUCAGCAUACUGAGUGUAGGUACACCUCUAGUGCUGUAUACCGGUGACGUAUCAUCCGGUUCAGUAUGGUUUGGUAUACCUUAAUUGUUACUCUAGACAUUUAAUCUCAGCCAAUUUGUCUCCCGUCCCCUUGCCUACAGGAUAGCUUUGUAAAGCUACAGUUUUGGCCAGAAGUAAUGGACUUUUCAACUUUAAGGAAUAUGUUUGUUCAAUGGGAUCUGGGUUCAUCGUGGACAAGGAAAUGCUUUUUGAGUGUCCUGGGAAAGGUUCUUCAAAAAGUCUUCAAAAUAUGAUGGUAUACUUAAAUUGGAUUAUUUUUAUAGAUUGAUUGGUACUUUUCAGCUCCAUAUGGAUUACAUUAGAUGGGUACACUGACUGAAUGAGAUUUAUUCGCUAUGUGUCUGAGUGAAUCAAACAAGUUCCAGCAUACAAGAUUAGAUCUGAUAGGAUGGUUUCUAAAAUGAUUACCUAGGUUAGUCUAAGAAAUUUGUUGAAGCUUGCUGUUUUUCCCUCUCUCAUCUUCUGAAUUGUGGCUUAUUUGACUGCAGACUGAAAUGUUUUAUAAUACACGGUGUUUAAUGUUCCAGCGCAGCAUAUUGUUUGUGCUUCAGAGCACCAUCUUUUGCAUGGCAAACAAGUAUAUUUUACACCAUCUUUAAACUAAUCACAGAAGGUGACUGUCAGUCUUAUUUGUUACAUUAGCAAGGUCCUGGAGCCUAGAGGACUUUCUCUAUCUUUCUGGUCUUUUGAAUUAUCUCUCAAUUUUUUAAAUCCUCUCUCCUUGACUUUCGAUGUGUCAUUUAAAGUAAUUUCACUUGGUCCACUACCGGCCAAACCAUUUUAUAGAGGUCACUUUAUUAAACAUGACAAUGCACUGUUUCCUUUAUUUUUUAACCUCUGUAAAUAAGUCCAGCAGGCAACUUUCUUUACCUUAAAAAUGUAAUUCUGGAUACAUCAGUAAAAUGAGAGAAGAGUUACCAGCAUUGUAGAUCAGCUACUUGCAAUCCAAAGAAUAUAUGAUUUCACUCUUUUAGAGUCUUUCAUCAAAUUUUGGAGUUAGUUUUUAGCAGGUAUACAGUCAAAUCACAAGAAAUGCUCUGGUGUGUGGGUUUUUUAUGCAGAAUCUUGAGCCAAAAUUCCCAAAUCCCCAGUUGUUACUCUUAGGAACAGAAUUCUAAUGUUGAACCUAGCUAUAGGUAGUUAUCUUUCAAAAAAAUAGUUGCAGGUAGUUAGCAUUUCUACUAAUUCGGUCUGCUAAUUUUGCUGUCUAAUGACAGCCCUUGAUAUUAAAUAAUGCCAGAUGUGAUAUUACUUCAGACUUCAGAGCAUUAUAGUUGUUCUGUCUAAUGGCUUUAGGUUGCCUUUGCGCCAUUACAAACCUAUACAAUGAUACAUAAACAACUGCUAUUUAUGUGCAUUAUAUUAUAAUUAUGAUGUAAUUGUACAACAAUCAUGAUGGCUGUUAUUUGGCAGUACAACUUUCUAGAAAAAUAAAAUAAUCAUUUCCAUGUAAAAUAAUGCAAGAUGCAUGUUUUAGUGUAUUAUUUAAAUUCUAAGUUUUUGUAAUGCCAUUAUAUUGCCAGAAUAAGUUUAUUAUGACGGCUAAGCAAUGGUUACAAAAGUUUUUUUCUUCAGAAAAAAAAUAUUCGAAGCAUGCAAACUUGUUCAGGAUUUUUUACCAUCCCUGUUGAAACUUGAAAUUACCUAUAAAUAUCUGGAUUUACUGUACUUGCUUUCUCAACAUCGGUACAAUUAGUGAGAAUAUUUUAGGCCUACCCUUUAAUGAUGGACUGUAAAUGUCAGACUUUGAUUACCUGUUCUGCGCUUAUUCUGCUUUCUAACAACAGAUUUGUCAAUAACAGUUUUUCGAACUGUUUUUCUCAAAUGAAAGCUCGACUUUACAUGAUUCUUGAAGACAAGCUGAAAUUUUUGAUCAUGAAGUAAAUGACUGCAGAAGUGAUGAUUUUUGCUGCACUGGCAAAAAGCUUGAAUGAAGAGUGUUGCAGGAGGAGGUAAUGUCCAGCAUGAGAUUAUGUGGGGAAGGUGAUGACAGAAGGGAUUAUUCUUGGGUGACUCUUUGGAAAAAAAAAGGCACCAGAAGGGGGAAGAGGAAAGAUAUGACAGUUUGAAGAUAGCACAAUUUGAAUAUAAGAAAAAAUUAAAUUAACCUCAGCAAACUUUGGGUUAAAUUGAAGGGGCAAUUACGUUAUAUGGACCUCUGAAUUAGUGCCUGAUUAGUUAAAGGGGGGGCUUAUGGAAGGGCUAAUGUCUGCAACUCAACUAUGUCAGCUCUCAGAAGUAGUUUACAUGAGAUGAAAAAAAAAAAUUGAAGGAUAUGUAUGAGGAAACUCCAUUUUUGCAGUCAUCACUUGGUAUCCGUCCUGUAGUUAUGGGAGAGCCACCCAUAAAACUGUUAUUCGCCAUUACCCAUAAAACUGUUGUUAACAUUAUCUUGUUGCUAUCUCUGCAUUAGAAUACUGUUAUGAUAACUAUCAUGAGGCCUA